rnacentral:rRNA from 1 species
GUGAGGAAUAUUGGUCAAUGGGCGGAAGCCUGAACCAGCCAAGUAGCGUGCAGGAUGACGGCCCUAUGGGUUGUAAACUGCUUUUAUACGGGAAUAAAGUUAGCCACGUGUGGUUAUUUGUAGGUACCGUAUGAAUAAGGACCGGCUAAUUCCGUGCCAGCAGCCGCGGUAAUACGGAAGGUCCAGGCGUUAUCCGGAUUUAUUGGGUUUAAAGGGAGCGUAGGCCGUCUGUUAAGCGUGUUGUGAAAUGUAGAUGCUCAACAUCUGAAUUGCAGCGCGAACUGGCAGACUGGAGUGUGCGCAACGUAGGCGGAAUUCGUGGUGUAGCGGUGAAAUGCUUAGAUAUCACGAAGAACUCCGAUUGCGAAGGCAGCUUACGGGAGCACAACUGACGCUGAAGCUCGAAAGUGCGGGUAUCGAACAGGAUUAGAUACCCUGGUAGUCC